GGCCGGUUAGCUCAGUCGGUUAGAGCAUGGUGCUGAUAACACCAAGGUUGCUGGUUCAAUUCCAGCAUGGGCCA